rnacentral:rRNA from 1 species
CGCGAAUCGCCCUUCGGGGUGCACCAGGCGCGAAAACUUUACAAUGCGGGAAACCGUGAUAAGGGGACACCGAGUGUCAGCGUCAUACGCUGGCUGUCCAGGUGUGUAAAAUACACCUGUUAGCAAGGGCCGGGCAAGACCGGUGCCAGCCGCCGCGGUAACACCGGCGGCCCGAGUGGUGAUCGUGAUUAUUGGGUCUAAAGGGUCCGUAGCCGGUUUGGUCAGUCCUCCGGGAAAUCUGAUAGCUCAACUAUUAGGCUAUCGGGGGAUACUACCAGACUUGGAGCCGGGAGAGGUAAGAGGUACUACAGGGGUAGGAGUGAAAUCUUGUAAUCCCUGUGGGACCACCUGUGGCGAAGGCGUCUUACCAGAACGGGUUCGACGGUGAGGGACGAAAGCUGGGGGCACGAACCGGAUUAGAUACCCGGGUAGUCCCAGCCGUAAACGAUGCUCGCUAGGUGUCAGGCAUGGCGCGACCGUGUCUGGUGCCGCAGGGAAGCCGUGAAGCGAGCCACCUGGGAAGUACGGCCGCAAGGCUGAAACUUAAAGGAAUUGGCGGGGGAGCAC